GCCAUCUAGAUCAGUUGGUGGAGCAUAAGGUUUUAAACCUUAAGGUUGGGGUUCGAGCCCUACAACUCGCA
rnacentral:tRNA from 7 species